GACGAACGCUGGCGGCGUGCUUAACACAUGCAAGUCGAACGGAAAGGCCCUGCUUUUGUGGGGUGCUCGAGUGGCGAACGGGUGAGUAACACGUGAGUAACCUGCCCUUGACUUUGGGAUAACUUCAGGAAACUGGGGCUAAUACCGGAUCGGAGCUCCUGCUGCAUGGUGGGGGUUGGAAAGUUUCGGCGGUUGGGGAUGGACUCGCGGCUUAUCAGCUUGUUGGUGGGGUAGUGGCUUACCAAGGCUUUGACGGGUAGCCGGCCUGAGAGGGUGACCGGCCACAUUGGGACUGAGAUACGGCCCAGACUCCUACGGGAGGCAGCAGUGGGGAAUAUUGCACAAUGGGCGGAAGCCCGAUGCAGCAACGCCGCGUGCGGGAUGACGGCCUUCGGGUUGUAAACCGCUUUCGCCUGUGACGAAGCGUGAGUGACGGUAAUGGGUAAAGAAGCACCGGCUAACUACGUG
rnacentral:rRNA from 1 species